UACAGAGGUCUCAAGCGUUGUUCGGAUUCAUUGGGCGUAAAGGGUGCGUAGGCGGUCGCGCAAGUCGGAUGUGAAAUCUCAGGGCUCAACCCUGAAACUGCAUUCGAUACUGCGUGGCUAGAGUGCUGGAGAGGAGACUGGAAUUUACGGUGUAGCAGUGAAAUGCGUAGAUAUCGUAAAGAAGACCAGUGGCGAAGGCGAGUCUCUGGACAGCAACUGACGCUGAGGCACGAAGGCCAGGGGAGCAAACGGG
rnacentral:rRNA from 1 species